rnacentral:rRNA from 1 species
UACGAAGGGGGCUAGCGUUGCUCGGAAUUACUGGGCGUAAAGGGCGCGUAGGCGGACAGUUUAGUCAGAGGUGAAAGCCCAGGGCUCAACCUUGGAAUUGCCUUUGAUACUGGCUGUCUUGAGUGCGGGAGAGGUGUGUGGAACUCCGAGUGUAGAGGUGAAAUUCGUAGAUAUUCGCAAGAACACCAGUGGCGAAGGCGGCUCACUGGCCCGAUACUGACGCUGAGGCACGAAAGGGUGGGGAGCAAACAGG